CGGUCCAGACUCCUACGGGAGGCAGCAGUGGGGGAUAUUGCACAAUGGAGGAAACUCUGAUGCAGCGACGCCGCGUGAGGGAAGAAGGCCUUCGGGUUGUAAACCUCUGUCUUCGGGGACGAAUAAAUGACGGUACCCGAGGAGGAAGCCACGGCUAACUACGUGCCAGCAGCCGCGGUAA
rnacentral:rRNA from 1 species